rnacentral:rRNA from 1 species
GGCGACUACCUGGACCAGCACUGACACUGAGGCACGAAAGCGUGGGGAGCAAACAGGAUUAGAUACCCUGGUAGUCCACGCCCUAAACGAUGCGAACUGGAUGUUGGGGGCAACUUGGCCCUCAGUAUCGAAGCUAACGCGUUAAGUUCGCCGCCUGGGAAGUACGGUCGCAAGACUGAAACUCAAAGGAAUUGACGGGGGCCCGCACAAGCGGUGGAGUAUGUGGUUUAAUUCGAUGCAACGCGCAGAACCUUACCUGGCCUUGACAUGUCGAGAACUUUCCAGAGAUGGAUUGGUGCCUUCGGGAACUCGAACACAGGUGCUGCAUGGCUGUCGUCAGCUCGUGUCGUG